UCAUCAUCCUUAUGACAGUCCAGAGCAGACUAGUCCACCCAGACCUGGCUCCUCAGCAGACCCACCCGCUGUGAAUUCACAAACUACCAGGUCUGGAAAGGACCUUGUCCAUCCCACCAGCUUGUAGCUGAGUUUCUGGCCUCGGUAGAGAAAUGAACGCCGAAUGGAGAUAAUAGAGGAAGGAAGUGAGCCGGCAGGAUAGAAGAGCAACAGCUUUGCCCGUCAGCGCUGCUGUUUUCCUUAGGGAUUUCCCCAAGCAGAGGCCUUCACAGCCACCCCAUGGCACCUCCCUCUCUUGGCCUCACCUCUGUUUCUAGCCACAGCUUUCCCCACUGUUUAGUGGGUCUGACAUCACACUCUGACAGCCCUGCCCAGCCCCUGAGGCAGAGAGAGGGUUCUCACGGAGGGCUUGGCAGGAUGGUCCCUCCCUUCCUGAGUCCUUUCGACCACAGGUUACCACCCUUGCCUCUCUUGCCCUGUCCGCUGGAGCUCCAGUCAGCGGUGCUCAUCCUGUUUUCAAGGGAAUACCUACAACUCCCCUUCAUGUUCUAAAUUAUUGGGCUGAUUUGCUUUGCUCCUGGGUGUCACCUCCCUGGACCGAACCUUGACUGGGCCCUUAAUUCAGCACUGCCUUGCUAUCAGACACUCUAAUGAAAAGGACUGACACAGUAUGACACCACGUGUUUUAUUACAGUUAAUAACACACUGGAAUGGGAGCUCUCUGAGGCGUUUUGAAAAAUGUCUCCCUCAUUAAAAGUCAAACUUU